GAUGAACGCUGGCGGCGUGCCUAAUACAUGCAAGUCGAGCGAACAGACGAGGAGCUUGCUCCUCUGACGUUAGCGGCGGACGGGUGAGUAACACGUGGAUAACCUACCUAUAAGACUGGGAUAACUUCGGGAAACCGGAGCUAAUACCGGAUAAUAUAUUGAACCGCAUGGUUCAAUAGUGAAAGUCGGUUUUGCUGUCACUUAUAGAUGGAUCCGCGCCGCAUUAGCUAGUUGGUAAGGUAACGGGUUACCAAGGCAACGAUGCGUAGCCGAGCUGAGGGGGUGAUCGGCCACACGAGAACUGAGACACCGUCCAGGCGCCUAAGGGAGGCAGCAGUAGGGAAUGUGCCGCAAUGGGCGAAAGCAUGACGGAGCAACGCCGCGUGAGUGAUGAAGGUCUUGGGAGCGUAAAACUCUGUUAUUAGGGAAGAACAAAUGUCUAAGUAACUAUGCACGUCUUGACGGUAACUAAUCAGAAAGCCACGGCUAACUACGUG
rnacentral:rRNA from 1 species